rnacentral:tRNA from 1 species
UCAUAACAAUCGGUGGUUCAGUGGUAGAAUGCUCGCCUGCCGCGCGGGCGGCCCGGGUUCGAUUCCCGGCCGGUGAA